rnacentral:rRNA from 1 species
GACGAACGCUGGCGGCGUGCCUAAUACAUGCAAGUCGAGCGGACUUUCAAGAAGCUUGCUUUUUGAAAGUUAGCGGCGGACGGGUGAGUAACACGUGGGCAACCUGCCUGCAAGACGGGGAUAACUCCGGGAAACCGGGGCUAAUACCGGAUAAUAUCUUCCUUCGCAUGAAGGAAGGUUGAAAGGCGGCGCAAGCUGCCGCUUGCAGAUGGGCCCGCGGCGCAUUAGCUAGUUGGUGAGGUAACGGCUCACCAAGGCGACGAUGCGUAGCCGACCUGAGAGGGUGAUCGGCCACACUGGGACUGAGACACGGCCCAGACUCCUACGGGAGGCAGCAGUAGGGAAUCUUCCGCGAUGGACGAAAGUCUGACGGAGCAACGCCGCGUGAGCGAAGAAGGUCUUCGGAUCGUAAAGCUCUGUUGUCAGGGAAGAACAAGUACCGUUCGAACAGGGCGGUACCUUGACGGUACCUGACCAGAAAGCCACGGCUAACUACGUG